AAUGAAAUGCCUGAUAAAAGGAUUAUUUUGAUAGAAUAAUUCAUGAAAAUAAAGUUUUUCUUUCAUUU